ensembl:lncRNA
CGUGUUUCUAGGUAGUGCCGUCUCGUGUUUCUAGGUAGUGCCGUCUCGUGUUUCUAGGUAGUGCCGUCUCGUGUUUCUAGGUAGUGCUGUCUCGUGUUUCUAGGUAGUGCCGUCUCGUGUUUCCUAGGUAGUGCCGUCUCGUGUUUCCUAGGUAGUGUUGUGUUGAAUUUCUCUGUAAAAAAAAUACACUCCGACAUUGGAAUUAAAUGUUGCCCAUUUACAUCACAUAUGUUGCCUGACUACAGCUAGCUACCCAGCUAGCUACCCACGACGUACUGACAUCUACCUGACAUAACAUUCGUUUUUAGGUCAUCUUUGUUUAUUUGGCUAGCUAGCUAGAGUACUACGAUUCACAUCCAGUAUAUCUAGCUGAUAAUUAGGAAGUAAAACGGUUUCUUUGUUUAUAUGUUGUUGGGUCUCUAUUGA